CCUGAGAAAUGGCUACCACUUCUACGGAAGGCAGCAGGCGCGCAAAUUACUCAAUCCCAAUACGGGGAAGUAGUGACAAUAAAUAUCAAUACCUAUCCUUUUUGGAGGGCAAUUGAAAUGAACACAAAUUAAAACUCUUAAUUAACACAAUUGGAGGGCAAGUCUGGUGCCAGCAGCCGCGGUAAUUCCAGCUCCAAUAGCAUAUACUAAAGUUGUUGCAGUUAAAAAGCUCGUAGUUGAAGUUAAGGGUUUAUCGGGCUAAAAGUUAUUUGCCGCUUUUGUGGUUAAAUUCAACUCCGGUAUUCCUUUUCUUAAUAGUUCAGCUUCUAUUAUCUUUGAUAGUAGUUGUUUGGGCAUUUCACUGUGAGAAAAUUGUGGUGUUUAAAGCAGGCGUCUCGCCUGAUCUUUUGCAGCAUGGUAUGAUGAAACAUGACAUUUUACGCUAUUGGUUUGCGUCUAAAGUGUAAUGAUUAAUAGG
rnacentral:rRNA from 1 species